GGUCUCGUAGUUCAGAUGGAUAGAACACCAGUUUCCUAAACUGGGUGUCGCAGGUUCAAGUCCUGCCGAGACCA
rnacentral:tRNA from 1 species